UGGGGAAUCUUGCACAAUGGGCGAAAGCCUGAUGCAGCAACGCCGCGUGAGUGAAGAAGGCCUUUGGGUCGUAAAGCUCUUUCGGCCGGGAAGAAGGGUACAUUGGCUAAUAUCCAAUGGAUUUGACGGUACCGGAAGAAGAAGCACCGGCUAACUUCGUGCCAGCAGCCGCGGUAAUACGAAGGGUGCAAGCGUUGUUCGGAAUUAUUGGGCGUAAAGCGCGCGUAGGCGGGCUUGUAAGUCGAUUGUGAAAUCCCCGGGCUCAACCUGGGAAUUGCAGUCGAAACUGCAAGUCUUGAAUGCUUGAGAGGAUGACGGAAUUCCUGGUGUAGUAGUGAAAUACGUAGAUAUCAGGAGGAACACCGGAGGCGAAGGCGGUUAUCUGGCAAUGCAUUGACGCUGAGGCGCGAAAGCGUGGGGAUCAAACAGG
rnacentral:rRNA from 1 species